rnacentral:rRNA from 1 species
GUGCGAAACUCCCCUCAAGAUGAGAUAUCCCAAUUGAAGGUUCGUGAGAGACUAUCACGUAAAUAGGCCGCAGGUGUACAGCUAGAAAUAGCAUAGCUGAGCGGUACUAAGGAACCGAACGCUU